rnacentral:sRNA from 1 species
UAACAUUCCAAGGAAUCUACGCAAACUGC